AUUUUAUCGCUAAUGUAUAGAAUUUCGAAAUUCAACAGCAAAAUUAUCCUAAGAAUUAAAUCAGCCACCACCAGAUGUUGCUUUCUCAGCAGCAGCUCCGCCUCUUCUCCGCCCCAAUCCACCUUCUCCCCUCCUUCCCAUUCUCGCAUUCCCUCAAUUCCCCCCUCAAAUCCACCAAACAAUGCACUCGCUGCUCCGCCCCCAAAUUAUCGAUUGCGCAGCUAUCCGAAGCCCCCACCGCCAGCUCCCCGCCGGAGGAGGGCCCCGUCGAGAUCCCGCCCUCAAUUUCCCCACUAUUCGCCACCGACGACGACCCCACACCUCUCCAAACUGCCACCAGCGUACUCCUCACCGGCGCCAUCACGAUUUUCCUCUUCCGCUCCCUCCGCCGUCGCGCCAAGCGUGCGAAAGAGACGAAAUUUAGAUCAUCUGGUGAAAAGAAAUCGCUCAAGGAGGAGGCGUUGGAUAGCUUGAAAUCCGUUACGCUUUCGCCAGCUGAUACCAAGUCCCCGCCUUCGCCUGUGCAGGCGUUUUUGGGCGCAGUAGCAGCUGGCGUGCUCGCACUCAUUCUGUACAAAUUCACGACCACGAUUGAAGCUUCUCUCAACCGCCAAGCAAUUCCAGAUAAUUAUUCAGUUCGACAGAUAACCAUAACCAUAAGGACGAUCAUCAAUGGUUUAUGUUACCUCGCUACGUUUGUUUUUGGUAUCAAUUCUCUAGGUUUGCUUCUUUACUCCGGCCAGCUUGCGUUUAACUCGUUAAUGGACGAAUCCGAGAAUGAGGACGAAGCGCCACCAAAACCAGAUGAUGACUCUGGCUUAACGAGUGCCACCGAGGAUCAAAGCUCCGAUGAAACACAGUAAUAGAUACGGCGAUUGGAUGGCCAUAUUCGUAGAAUUCGAGAACUCUUUGUGCCGUGAUACGGUAGUGGACUGGACAGAACAAGAAAAACACGAGAAAAUCGAGUGUCCAUCGAUCUUCCCUCUCAGGCUCAGUGAUCAUCGAUCUUCUUGUAAGGGUCGCAACUCAGUGGCCGAGCAUACUGAGGCAGUGGGCAUGUGUUCCUAUCCAAGAACUGCAGAAGCAUCACUGUGAUCACUGAGCUGAGAAACAUCGGAAUCGGGCCAAAAAUCCACAGCAUCAAAUUGGUGGCUAAAUAGAGCGAUCGGAGCCCGACCACCCAGAAAUUACAUCCCGUUAUGACUGCAUUCUCGACAUUGCCCGCGAGCAUUACGCAGUUGGGCAAGCUUAUGAGGAAACCGGCAUGAAGGAAGCUCGUUGCUGCGUGGACGAAACAAACAAAGGCAAUCACGAAGCUGGUGAGAAUUGCCAGGUAUUUGGUGUAAACAAUGGUUGGACUCAUGUUUCCAUAGACUCUCGCUGCUACGGGUUCGUUGUUGUACGAGUUUCCAAUCCAUGCCACGAGCAACGAGCAGAGAACAAGGGCGAUGGACGCUAGAGACAUCGCUGCAAAUAAGUAGUUCCCUGUCACUUGUUUGAUCGACAGUUUCUAAAUUGAAAAUGUACGUUGAGGACAGUUUUUCCACACGAAAGUUGGGGGGACAGACUAACUAAAACAAUAUCUAACCUCCAGCAAUCGCGACACCCAAAGUCUCCGGUUGUGGUUUUCAUAUCCGACAACUGUGGUCUCAGCCCGAUUGAUGCAUCUGUGGAGAUGAAACAUAUGAUAUCCGACCAUGACCAGUAAACCAGCGGGGACUAGAAUGAAAUCCAAGUGUUCUUUCGUCCAUGUCGGCCCCAUUUCCGAAUUACCCAGUCUUAGAUGAAGAUAGUGUAUAAUCCUUCAUUUAUGAUCCGUAGAGAUAUCACUGUUUGCCUAUGUAAUUAAUCAGCUGUUGAUUAAUAUAUUGGUUAGGUGUAGGUUACGUUAAGGUGGCUUGAAAUUAUCUAGAAGUAAUUCGCCGUCGAUCAUGUUUAUUCAUAAAGUGAAGUGAAUGUUACUAUCAGUGAGGUAAUUGUUGGGAAAA